UGUUGGGGAAGGAGACUUCUUUAGUACCGCAGCUAACGCGUGAAGUUGACCGCCUGGGGAGUACGGUCGCAAGAUUAAAACUCAAAGGAAUUGACGGGGACCCGCACAAGCGGUGGAUUAUGUGGAUUAAUUCGAUGCAACGCGAAAAACCUUACCUACCCUUGACAUGCCAGGAAGAUUCCAGAGAUGGGAUUGUGCCCGAAAGGGAACCUGGACACAGGUGCUGCAUGGCUGUCGUCAGCUCGUGUCGUGAGAUGUUGGGUUAAGUCCCGCAACGAGCGCAACCCUUGCCAAUAAUUGCCAUCAUUCAGUUGGGCACUUUAUUGGGACUGCCGGUGAUAAACCGGAGGAAGGUGGGGAUGACGUCAAGUCCUCAUGGCCCUUAUGGGUAGGGCUUCACACGUAAUACAAUGGUCGGUACAGAGGGUUGCCAACCCGCGAGGGGGAGCCAAUCCCAGAAAGCCGAUCGUAGUCCGGAUUGUUCUCUGCAACUCGAGAGCAUGAAGUCGGAAUCGCUAGUAAUCGCGGAUCAGCAUGUCGCGGUGAAUACGUUCCCGGGUCUUGUACACACCGCCCGUCACACCAUGGGAGUGGAAUCUGCCAGAAGUAGGUAGCCUAACCGCAAGGAGGGCGCUUACCACGGUGGGUUUCAUGACUGGGGUGAAGUCGUAACAAGGU
rnacentral:rRNA from 1 species